GCUUUUUUGAAAUUUACUUCACGCGUGUUGUGAGCGCACAAACACAUAAACCGUGAGUAAUUUUUAUCGAUACAAGAAAGGAAAGAAUACAAACCUUUCAACAACGGAUCUCUUGGUUCUCGCAUCGAUGAAAAGCGCAGCGAAAUGCGAUACCUAUUGUGAAUUGCAGCCUUCGUGAAUCAGCUAGUUCUUGAACGCUUCUUGCGCCCCGUCGGUAUUCCGGCGGGCUUGCCUGUUUGAACGUCUUUUCCUUCUUGGAACUUUUGUUAAAAAAGAAAGUUCCAAAGUUGGCCGUGCCACCGGCCCGGCCGAAAAUAAACGUUGCGGAAGAAGCGAACUAAAUUGGGGACGCUUUGGCCGCUUAGCGAAAAUCAUGUCUUGGAGCUCGACCUCAGAUCAGGUGGGAGCACCGGCUGACCUUAAGCAUAUCCUGGUUG
rnacentral:rRNA from 1 species